rnacentral:tRNA from 1 species
UCCCCGGUGGCUCAGCUGGUAAAGAAUCUGCCUGUAAUGCAGGAGACCCAGGUUUGAUCCCUGGGCCAGGAA